AUGGACAUGGAUGUGUCAUUUCGUUCAGCAAUCGUCAAUGGAGAUACUCUCAAGAUGUUUGUUGGGCAAAGAGUGCGCACAGUACUUAAGGUCCAACACACUCAAGGUGGAAUUCUUGUUGGGCAGUCGACUGAUGGACAUCAGUUGACCAUCAGAGGUGCUUCGGAAGGCCGUGAAUCACAUUAUCUAGAGGUUGUUGGGAUUGCUGACAACGACCAGUCCAUCAGUGCUGAGAGUUGCAAAGAUUUUGGUGACGACUUUGAUGCUGAUGCGUUCAAUGGGCUGUGCAAGCUUGUGGUGAACGUCAAGGUGAAGGAAGUUUUCCUGUAG
rnacentral:rRNA from 1 species